rnacentral:rRNA from 1 species
UAUCACUAAGCGGAGGAAAAGAAACUAACCAGGAUUCCCCUAGUAACGGCGAGUGAACGGGGAUCAGCCCAGCACCGAAGCCUGCAUCCGUUUGGGUGUAAGGCAAUGUGGUGUUUAGGUGAUCACAUGUUGAUUCCUCUACUGUCCCAAGUCCAGUAAUGAAUAUGGCUAUAUUAAUGGCCCAGAGAGGGUGAAAGGCCCGUGGGGGCAGUAUUUGCAGGUUUUGACUUGUGGUCUCCUUGGAGUCGGGUUGUUUGUGAAUGCAGCCCAAAUUGGGUGGUAGACUCCAUCUAAGGCUAAAUAUUUACACGAGUCCGAUAGCGAACAAGUACCGUGAGGGAAAGUUGAAAAGAACUCUGAAGAGAGAGUAAACAGUACGUGAAACCGCUUAGAGGUAAACGGGUGUAGUCAAGCUGCAAGCCCUUUGGGGAUUCAGUCGAUCAGUAUGACGUGAGCAUGAGCACAUUAGUUGGCUUGUAAAGUUUGCCUAAACUGGUAAGCCUAAUUCUGUAUGGGAUUAGGUUUUUGUGUAACAUAUGGUUAUUGAAUGCUUUACUUGAUCCAACUACUGAUCGGUGCAAUUCCUCAGGGUGUAAGCCACGACCGCCGUUGCUGUCGGUCUGCUGAAAUCAACUGAUUCAAUUAAAUUGUAAAACAGUUUAAUUGGAUUGGGAUGGCAGGUUAUUUGAUGUUGUAUGUCUCUUGUAGGCAUUGCAAUGUUAAGUGUUAUAGCCGAUUUCAGUGGCUAUUAAAACUGUGCAGUACGGUGGAGAUGUAUCGACGUGUUGGUAAUGGUAAAUGUGCUAUAGUCUGCCGGCGUAUAAUAAAUUUGAUUAUUUGUUGUUGAGGCUAUGUCUUCGACCUGAUAAUAGUUUAUUUACGGUGUUGUAGGCGGUUGCAUUUACUGACCAUUCUAUUGACUAUAUGAAUUUACGUUUGUAUGGUUGAUGGAAAUUAUCGUCAAUAGUCUGUGGCGUAGUGGUAGACGAUCCACCCGAC